rnacentral:rRNA from 1 species
UACGUAUGGAGCAAGCGUUAUCCGGAUUUACUGGGUGUAAAGGGAGCGUAGGCGGCUCUGUAAGUCUGAUGUGAAAAUUUGGGGCUCAACCCCAAACGUGCAUUGGAAACUGCAGGGCUUGAGUGCCGGAGAGGCAGGCGGAAUUCCUAGUGUAGCGGUGAAAUGCGUAGAUAUUAGGAGGAACACCAGUGGCGAAGGCGACGAUCUGGCCUGCAACUGUCGCUCAGUCCCGAAAGCGUGGGGAGCAAAUAGG